AAUCUCAUUGAUUGGAAGGGAUUCCUUCUGGUUGAUGAGGUAUGACAUCAUCAUUGAUGGAAUGAAUCCCUUCCAACUGAUGAGCUAUAACAACCUCAUUGACAGGAAGGAAUUCCUUCCAAUCGGUGAGGAUGUUAUACCUCAUUGACCAAAAGGAAUCCCUUGCGGUCAAUGAGUAU
rnacentral:miRNA from 1 species